rnacentral:rRNA from 1 species
UUAAUUGAAGAGUUUGAUCAUGGCUCAGAUUGAACGCUGGCGGCAGGCCUAACACAUGCAAGUCGAGCGGCAGCACAGAGGAACUUGUUCCUUGGGUGGCGAGCGGCGGACGGGUGAGUAAUGCCUGGGAAAUUGCCCGGUAGAGGGGGGAUAACCAUUGGAAACGAUGGCUAAUACCGCAUAACCUCGCAAGAGCAAAGCAGGGGACCUUCGGGCCUUGCGCUACCGGAUAUGCCCAGGUGGGAUUAGCUAGUUGGUGAGGUAAGGGCUCACCAAGGCGACG